rnacentral:rRNA from 1 species
GGUGAACGCUGGCGGCGUGCCUAAUACAUACAAGUCGAGCGAACAGACGAGGAGCUUGCUCCUCUGACGUUAGCGGCGGACGGGUGAGUAACACGUGGAUAACCUACCUAUAAGACUGGGAUAACUUCGGGAAACCGGAGCUAAUACCGGAUAAUAUAUUGAACCGCAUGGUUCAAUAGUGAAAGACGGUUUUGCUGUCACUUAUAGAUGGAUCCGCGCCGCAUUAGCUAGUUGGUAAGGUAACGGCUUACCAAGGCAACGAUGCGUAGCCGACCUGAGAGGGUGAUCGGCCACACUGGAACUGAGACACGGUCCAGACUCCUACGGGAGGCAGCAGUAGGGAAUCUUCCGCAAUGGGCGAAAGCCUGACGGAGCAACGCCGCGUGAGUGAUGAAGGUCUUCGGAUCGUAAAACUCUGUUAUUAGGGAAGAACAAAUGUGUAAGUAACUAUGCACGUCUUGACGGUACCUAAUCAGAAAGCCACGGCUAACUACGUG